UGUUUCGGCUAGGGGGUCAUCCCGACUUACCAACCCGAUGCAAACUACGAAUACCGAAGAAUGUUAUCACGGGAGACACACGGCGGGUGCUAACGUCCGUCGUGAAGAGGGAAACAACCCAGACCGCCAGCUAAGGUCCCAAAGUCAUGGUUAAGUGGGAAACGAUGUGGGAAGGCACAGACAGCCAGGAUGUUGGCUUAGAAGCAGCCAUCAUUUAAAGAAAGCGUAAUAGCUCACUGGUCGAGUCGGCCUGCGCGGAAGAUGUAACGGGGCUAAACCAUGCACCGAAGCUGCGGCAGCGACACUAUGUGUUGUUGGGUAGGGGAGCGUUCUGUAAGCCUGCGAAGGUGACCUGUGAGGGUUGCUGGAGGUAUCAGAAGUGCGAAUGCUGACAUAAGUAACGAUAAAGCGGGUGAAAAGCCCGCUCGCCGGAAGACCAAGGGUUCCUGUCCAACGUUAAUCGGGGCAGGGUGAGUCGACCCCUAAGGCGAGGCCGAAAGGCGUAGUCGAUGGGAAACAGGUUAAUAUUCCUGUACUUGGUGUUACUGCGAAGGGGGGACGGAGAAGGCUAUGUUAGCCGGGCGACGGUUGUCCCGGUUUAAGCA
rnacentral:rRNA from 1 species